rnacentral:rRNA from 1 species
GGCAUGCGGCGUGCUUACACAUGCAGUCGAACGAUGAUCAGGAGCUUGCUCCUGUGAUUAGUGGCGAACGGGUGAGUAACACGUGAGUAACCUGCCCCUGACUCUGGGAUAAGCGUUGGAAACGACGUCUAAUACUGGAUACGACUGCCGGCCGCAUGGUCUGGUGGUGGAAAGAUUUUUUGGUUGGGGAUGGACUCGCGGCCUAUCAGCUUGUUGGUGAGGUAAUGGCUCACCAAGGCGACGACGGGUAGCCGGCCUGAGAGGGUGACCGGCCACACUGGGACUGAGACACGGCCCAGACUCCUACGGGAGGCAGCAGUGGGGAAUAUUGCACAAUGGGCGAAAGCCUGAUGCAGCAACGCCGCGUGAGGGAUGACGGCCUUCGGGUUGUAAACCUCUUUUAGUAGGGAAGAAGCGAAAGUGACGGUACCUGCAGAAAAAGCACCGGCUAACUACGUGCCAGCAGCCGCGGUAAUACGUAGGGUGCAAGCGUUGUCCGGAAUUAUUGGGCGUAAAGAGCUCGUAGGCGGUUUGUCGCGUCUGCUGUGAAAUCCCGAGGCUCAACCUCGGGCUUGCAGUGGGUACGGGCAGACUAGAGUGCGGUAGGGGAGAUUGGAAUUCCUGGUGUAGCGGUGGAAUGCGCAGAUAUCAGGAGGAACACCGAUGGCGAAGGCAGAUCUCUGGGCCGUAACUGACGCUGAGGAGCGAAAGCGUGGGGAGCGAACAGGAUUAGAUACCCUGGUAGUCCACGCCGUAAACGUUGGGCGCUAGAUGUAGGGACCUUUCCACGGUUUCUGUGUCGUAGCUAACGCAUUAAGCGCCCCGCCUGGGGAGUACGGCCGCAAGGCUAAAACUCAAAGGAAUUGACGGGGGGCCCGCACAAGCGGCGGAGCAUGCGGGAUUAAUUCGAUGCAACGCGAAGAACCUUUACCAAGGCUUGACAUACACCGGAAACGGGCCAGAGAUGGUCGCCCCCCUUGUGGUCGU